ensembl:lncRNA
AUGCAUGGAAAUGCCAAAGACUGGGAACAUAAUUCCAAUAGUCUCAGCAGCACGCUGGGAGCAGGAGGAUCCCCAAGUCCCAGUGGGCUACAAACCUCCUGGGUCAGACUUUCUAUGUGUUUGCUUGGGUCACUGGAAGUGGCCAGGGAGACUUCUAUGAAUGUGUCAGAUAUCUUGGUGCAUCAAUUUAGGCUCUGUGGCAAAGUCCAGAAGAUGAGGGAAAUUGAAAUAAUUGUGGAUACUUGGUUCUACACUUAUGGUUUUGACACGGGGGAAACAUUUGAUGUUGUUUUUUCUGCUUCAAGGAUUCCAAUGAUGUAUCUUUCUCUGUUUCAGCCACCAUGGGUUACUGACAGACCAAAAUAUCCUGACAACUCCCGAAUGCCGGAAGGAGAGAAUGGGUUUAUACAUCUGAGGACCUUGACUAUUCUACUCUUUCUCUGUCACCCAGACUGGAGUGCAGUGCCAGCCUACUCCUCCGCCCCCGACAUUCAAGUGAUCCUCCUGCCUCAGACUCCCGAGUAGCUGGGAUUAAGGUACCUGCUACCAUGCCUGGCUAAUUUGUUGUGUUUUAAGUAGAGAUGGAGUUUUACCAUGUUGGCCAGGGUGGUCUUGAACUCCUGAUCUCAAGUGGUGCUGCCACUUCUGCCUCCCAAAGUGCUGGGAUUACAGGCUUGAUAUGGGCUUGAGCCACCACGCCCGGUCCUAACAUUUUCUUUAUGGAUUUUCUCUCCCUUUGAUUUAUAGUUAGGGCACCUCUACCCUGAGAUGAAUCAGAUGCAUCUGUUUGCUUUUUUUUUUGUCAAUUCUUUUAUGACUUCUUUAAUAUUUGAAUUUUUGAUCAAUUUAAAUCAAAUUAGGUAAAUUUUAUGAGGUAAAGGAGGGGAUAUUUGCCUUACUAUAAUUCCCAAAUAUUUAACCAAUCAUCUGUGCCAUAUUUACUUAGUAAUUCUUCCCCAUGCUUUAAAUAAUGUGUAGUCUUAUUUUUGUUCUGUGUUUGAAUUACUAUAGCUGUAUAGUAUGAUUUGACAUCUGACAGGGUGGAUUUCACCUUUUUAAUUAUUUAUUUUACAUCUAGGGUCAUUCUCAUGCAUUUAUUUCGUCUAAAUGAAUCAUAAACAGGCUGUCAAGUUUUCAACAUAGAUCCAAGGGGGAUUUAAAAUUUUUUUCUUAUUAAUAUUUGGGAACUUCCUUCUUUUCUUCCUUUUAUCCUCUUUCUUCUCUCCUCUCUCCUCCUACUCCUUCUUACUCUAUUCUUCUUUCUCUUUUUCACCUCUUCUUCUCCUUCCUUUUCUUACUUUCCUUCUUAUCUUACUUCAUCAUUUUCAUUUCUCCAUCAUUAUCUUCUUCUAUUUAUUGAUUUCAUUUAAAUAAUAACUAUUUCAUAGAGAAAAAUUAAAAAUAGACAUAGUGAUCAAAUGUUGACAUGUUGCCUUUUGUGUAUGCUUCAAAUAUUUUAAAAUUGACAUCUAAAAGGUUACAGAAACAGGCACAUUCUUCCACAUACAUUUUCCUCUACUCUCAAAAGUAACAUUAAAAAAUGCUGCACUGUCUUUUUGUGUGUUGCCAUUUUGUGCAUUUUUAACUUACAAUUUCACAACAUACUUAUUUGUCCAUAACAACA